rnacentral:rRNA from 1 species
GAUGAACGCUGGCGGCGUGCCUAAUACAUGCAAGUCGAGCGAACAGACGAGGAGCUUGCUCCUCUGACGUUAGCGGCGGACGGGUGAGUAACACGUGGAUAACCUACCUAUAAGACUGGGAUAACUUCGGGAAACCGGAGCUAAUACCGGAUAAUAUAUUGAACCGCAUGGUUCAAUAGUGAAAGACGGUUUUGCUGUCACUUAUAGAUGGAUCCGCGCCGCAUUAGCUAGUUGGUAAGGUAACGGCUUACCAAGGCAACGAUGCGUAGCCGACCUGGGAGGGUGAUCGGCCACACUGGAACUGAGACACGGUCCAGACUCCUACGGGAGGCAGCAGUAGGGAAUCUUCCGCAAUGGGCGAAAGCUUGACGGAGCAACGCCGCGUGAGUGAUGAAGGUCUUCGGAUUGUAAAACUCUGUUAUUAGGGAAGAACAAAUGUGUAAGUAACUAUGCACGUCUUGACGGUACCUAAUCAGAAAGCCACGGCUAACUACGUG